UACGUAGGGGGCAAGCGUUGUCCGGAAUCAUUGGGCGUAAAGCGCGUGUAGGCGGCCCGGUAAGUCCGCUGUGAAAGUCCAGGGCUCAACCCUGGGAUGCCGGUGGAUACUGUCGGGCUCGAGUCCGGAAGAGGCGAGUGGAAUUCCUGGUGUAGCGGUGAAAUGCGCAGAUAUCAGGAGGAACACCGGUGGCGAAGGCGGGUCUCUGGGCCGAUGACUGACGCUGGAGGCGCGAAAGCAUGGGGAGCAAACAGG
rnacentral:rRNA from 1 species